AUGGCAGGCGAGCUUACUGUGAUGAUGUGCAUGGCGGCUGCGGCGCUGCUGGUUUCUUUGACCGGCGGCGCGGGCGUGGCGGCGGCCUCAGCGAAGGAGCUACGGCAAGGCUUCUCGGCCGCCCACGACACGUCCUACUCGCACUUCCAGCCGGUGCUCUCCGACCCCACCGGCGUCUUCGCCCUCGGCUUCCUCCGAGUCAACUCCACCACGCUCGACCUCGCCGUCCUCCACCUCCCUUCCGCUUUCCCCCUCUGGCGAGCCAUGCCAGACCGCCCCGCGCCGUGGUCUGCGGCCGCGUCCCUCUCCUUCAACGGCAGCCUGGUGCUCACGGACGGCGCCACCAACCAAGUGCUUUGGUCCACCGCCGCGGCGGCCGGCGACCGCGCCGUUCUCCUCAACACGUCCAACCUUCAGAUUCAGAGCAGCGGCUCGCCCGUUGCCGUGUGGCAGAGCUUCGACUACCCUUCGGACACCAUUGUCCAGGGUCAGAACCUCACCUCAUCGGCAGCGCUUCACUCCAUCGACCAGCGAUUCGCCAUGCGGCUCGGUAGCAACUACUUCGCGCUCUACGUCGAGCCGCCACCGCUGUCGUCGGGCGGCGUCGCCGCCGCCAUGUACUCGAAGCACACGGCUCUGGAGGCCAAGGCCCAGAUCGUGGCCGGCGGCGGCCCGAUAUACGUGCGUGUGGAGCCCGACGGCUACCUCGGCGUGUACCAGAAGGAGGGAGCCCCCGCCGACGUCAUGUCCUUCGACACCUUCAACCACGGCGUCCGCGCUCUCCGCCGCAUGACUCUGGAGCCCGACGGCAACCUCCGCGCCUACUACUGGGACGGGUCCCGGUGGGUGCUCGACUACACCACCAUCACCGACUCGUGCGAGCUGCCCACCACCUGCGGCGCGUACAGCGUCUGCGUGCCGCCCAGCGGCCGGUGCGCGUGCCUGGCGAACGCCACCGACGGCCCGGGCUGCGCCGCCCCCUCCGUCGGGAGCGGCCUGUGCGGCACCACGGGCGGCGAGGUUGGCGGGCUGUACUCGGAGGUGCGGGGACACGGCGUGGAGCCGGCGAACAAGGAGCUGCUGGGGUUCGAGCACGCGGCGUCCGCGGGAGACUGCGAGGCGCUGUGCGCGCGCAACUGCAGCUGCUGGGGCGCGGUGUACAGCAACGGGACGGGCUACUGCUACCUCAUCGACUACCCGGCGCAGCUGAUGGUGGCCGCCGACGAGAAGAAGCUGGGCUACUUCAAGGUGAGGAGCGUGGAAGAGGCGGCUGGGCGCGGCGGGAGGGCGACCGGUGUCAAGGCGGCGCUGCUUGCGGUCGGCGUCGCGGUGGUGGCUGCCGCCGCUGCGUUCGGGGCGUACAGGGUGUGGGACAGGAGGCGCCGUGCGGCAGCGGAGACGCGGCAGCAGCUGGGCGCCGACGGUGAUGGGCUCUCGCCGGGUCCCUACAAGAAUCUGGGAUCCUUUAGCUCCGUCGAGCUCUCCAGCAGCUUCAACUCCUUACGGAGGUAG
rnacentral:rRNA from 1 species